ensembl:lncRNA
UACACAGUAGAUGUUUAAUAAAUGGUGAUUGAUCAAGGAGGAACAGGGCCUCCACCUGGGUCUGGGCUGGAUGUAACCCCGUCGGGUUCGGGGACGCCUGGCAGCCCGAUCCCACGCCCGGCUUCUCGCUAUGGGUUUUUUUCUUGGGGGGGGGGCACAAAGGAGGAGAGCGGAGGAGGGGAGCGGGAGGCCCACGGGGAGGCUCAGCCCCUCUCCCAGCGCAGAAAGCUGGCACUGCCAGCCGCGGCCACAGGCGACGCUCUUCUCGCUCCCCUCCCCCUCACGCCUUAUCGGAGCCCGGCGUGUCCCUUAUCACGUUGGGUCUCUUUCUAAUCGUCGCCGUCGCCGACGCAUUCUCUCCGCCAUCGUCGUUACCUCUCCCUCGAACCUUCUCUGUGUAACUAUUACCGCUGCAGUCGGUCGUCUCGUGGGCUGCAUCGCAAGGAAAACACCUGAGUUUGGAGCCUCUCUCUCUCUGCCAUCCGGGGUGAUUUUAGGGAGCAAUUGUAAAGAAAAAUGGAGGGGAGCACUAAGAAGCAAGAAGCAAAGGUGGCAAAUGAGCCAACUGAUUCCACCCUCGAAAAACAGCCAGCCCCAACCCCCCCACAAGGGGAAUCGGAAGCCGAUAGUUCCGAGGAAGAAGUUCCCCAAGAGCUGAAAGUGUGGGGCUACGGAGGGGCCGAAGGGGGGGGCUGCUGGCUGCAGGAGGAGGCCUUGAGCAUUCCUGGAUCGGCGGAGGAGGAUGAGGAGAGUGAGGCUAUCCAAGCCAUGGCGCUCGGGGUGGAAUUACAGUGCAGGCUCCAGCUCCACCUGGAUCAGCUGGAGGCCAAGGCCAAAUCCAGGGCCAGGGCCAGGGCCAGGGCCAGGGCCAGGGCCGCGAUGGCUGCCAGACGGGGCAGCCCGGAACGCGCCCUGGGAGCUUCGGCAAGUCCGGCAGCCGCGGCCCGCCCUCAGCCCUUGGUGGUCCGGGGCAGUCGGGGGGAGCCCCACAUCCGAGCUCAAGAGACGGAGGCCUCCCUGGGGCAGGCCCCUGAGGAAGUCAAACCAGGUGUGAAGGGAGGCCGAGAUCCAUUCGGGGCUCCCGUUCGGAAAACGGGAAAGGGCCCCAGAGGAAAGGAAGCUGCUGCUAAAGCUCGGGAAGGUCCGCCGGCCUCUAAUCCUCCUAGUAUCUGCCAGAGAAGAGAGAACUACCCAAAUCUGGAGCUGAAAGGCUCGGUCCCAGAAGGAGCCAUCACCCUGGGGCACACACGUGAGAGCCACGUUCUCAGGGACCCCAGUAGCCAGAAGCCGGGAGAGACCCCAAGUCCGCUCGGGGAGCAGCUGGAGAGCCCUUGCCUCGCGUGUCUGUGCGCGAGUUCGGGCCCACGGCCGUCCCCCGCCGUCGUCAGCACGGCCACUUCUGCCGCCUCGGCCGCACCCCGCAGACUCUCGUGGUGUCCCAUACGUGCGGCCCCCUCCCCCACCCCCGGCACCCGGCCCACACUCCUCCAGAAGCAGAGGAGGCCUCUGUCUACCCCUCUCCACCUUGCGGCCCGUCUGAGCCAGAGACGUCUGCCGGUGGCAGGAAGGAAGAGUCCCAAGCUCCCGGCAAGUCUCCCGCUCCAGGGCCUCCAGCAGAAGAAAAUACAAAGGAAGAGCCUCUAGCGGGAACUGAAGGCCUCGUUCCCACGAGUCCCCACGCAGCAAGCGCCAGGGGGGUACCCUGGGCCUCGGUCUCCAUGAAGAGAAGCCUCCAGAAGCGAAGCAGUCCCUGCCUCAGUGAGCUCAUGUGGUGCUGGAGGAGAUGGAAGAAGGAGUGAAAAAGCAAGAGACGCAGGGUGCCGGGCUGGGCCCUGCCACGGGGCCCAGUGGGGAAUGGCUUCCUGGAAAAGGGAGGCAGCCCCGGGGCUGCUCAGUGAAGAUGAUCCGUAAGGUGCACGGGAGUCGCUCGGGACCCUCUUCUCCCCCAGGCCCCACUUGAGCUGCUAGGUCAGAGCCUUACGUCUCCUGUUGGAACCACACCCCGCCAGACGCCCGGCCGGCCGUUGGGCCUUAGGAGUCUCUUGAGGGAGGGGCCCCUGCUCAGAGGCCCUGGUCCCCGGUUUUGGAAUCCUUAAGUCCAAGCAGUUCCCUGGGGUCUCCGGAGGACCUAGAGCCGGUGGGGUGCUGGAAGGUUGGGAUCUGCCACCCUUUAGGCUCCUCUCUCCGCCUUGUCACCGAGAUCUCGGUUACGUCCCCCCUACUUGCUGGGGCCGUCUCCCCAGUUACCCCGUCUCCCUUAAGCUCCCUCCCAUCCCUAAGUCUUGAACCUGGGGAGCCAGGCUGGGCCCCCAGGGAGGGGGGGGGGCGACCUCGGCCACGGUUUGUCUCUGUAGCUCCUCGGUGCCCGGCAUGGAAGAGAGAUUCAAAA